rnacentral:rRNA from 1 species
UACGGGGGGGGUUAGUGUUAUUCAUCGUUACUGGGUGUAAAGCGCGAGUGGGUGGUUUAUCAAGUUUUAAUCAAGAUAAUCCAAGCUUAACUUGGAAGUUGAUUUUAAUACUGUUAAUCUAGAGGUUAGAGGAAGAAAGCUAUACUUCUCAGAAAAAGGUGAAAUUUGUCCGAACUGGGGGGGAUAACCAACAGGCGAGAGCGGCUUUCUAUUAUAAUUCUGACACUUAGGCGCAAAAGCUUGGGGAUCAAACGGG